UACGGAGGGGGCUAGCGUUGUUCGGAAUUACUGGGCGUAAAGCGCACGUAGGCGGAUUGGAAAGUUGGGGGUGAAAUCCCGGGGCUCAACCCCGGAACUGCCUUCAAAACUCCCAGUCUGGAGGUCGAGAGAGGUGAGUGGAAUUCCGAGUGUAGAGGUGAAAAUUCGUAGAUAUUCGGAGGAACACCAGUGGCGAAGGCGGCUCACUGGCUCGAUACUGACGCUGAGGUGCGAAAGCGUGGGGAGCAAACAGG
rnacentral:rRNA from 1 species